rnacentral:rRNA from 1 species
UGAGGAAUAUUGCGCAAUGGCCGAAAGGCUGACGCAGCGACGCCGCGUGAAGGAUGAAGUCCGUUGGGAUGUAAACUUCUUUUGCAGGGGAUGAAUGUACGCCUUAGGCGUAUUGACCGUACCCUGCGAAUAAGGAUCGGCUAACUACGUGCCAGCAGCCGCGGUAAUACGUAGGAUCCGAGCGUUGUCCGGAAUUACUGGGUGUAAAGGGCGUGUAGGUGGGUCUCUAAGUCGGUGGUGAAAUCCUGUAGCUCAACUGCAGAACUGCCAUCGAUACUGGAGGUCUUGAGUACGGCAGAGGGAGAUGGAAUUCAUGGUGUAGCGGUGAAAUGUGUAGAUAUCAUGAAGAACACCGGUAGCGAAGGCGGUCUCCUGGUCCGUAACUGACACUGAGGCGCGAAAGCGUGGGGAGCAAACAGGAUUAGAUACCCUGGUAGUCCACGCCUUAAACGAUGGGUACUCGGUGCUGGUCCCGCUCCGCACAUGCGAUGCAUGUUCGGAGCGGGAUCAGUGCCAAAGCUAACGCAUUAAGUACCCCACCUGGGGAGUACGACCGCAAGGUUG